UACGUAGGGCGCAAGCGUUAUCCGGAAUUAUUGGGCGUAAAGAGCUCGUAGGCGGUUUGUCGCGUCUGCUGUGAAAACCGAGGCUCAACCUCGGCCUGCAGUGGGUACGGGCAGACUAGAGUGCGGUAGGGGGAGAUUGGAAUUCCCGGUGUAGUGGUGAAAUGCGUAGAGAUCGGGAGGAAUACCCGUGGCGAAGGCGGCCAGCUGGGCUACACCUGACACUGAGACGCGAAGGCGUGGGGAGCGAACGGG
rnacentral:rRNA from 1 species